CCAUCUCUCUGAACACUCUAGGAUGUCAACGUCUUCCACAUGGCGACAAGUCACCGACUGACACAGUGCCUCUCUGUUUGUCACUAAGAAAGAGACGGCAGUGGGGAGACAGCCAAGCAAAGCAACAAUAGGAUGGCCUCUGUGACGGAAGAGCUAACACUGCAGUUUCAACCCGUGACCUUUACAUCCAGGGCUCUCCUGUAUUUUUAGCUUAAUGUUGUGAACUUUUUCCCAUUAAAACCCGAUUCUCCUUGUUUAUGUCACAAGUCUCAACAUGGCCUCUCAUCUGAAAUUAAGCUUUUCUCACACGAGGUCGAAGUGAUGCAGAACUGAGAUGAACCUGUGUCCCCUGUGGCUGGCCUUCAAAGCUGCAGGUCCCCACGCCCUACAGCUCUGUUCAGAGUGAAGGGAAGCAGCUUCUUUCCAUCUUCACACCCGGCUUCAGAAGCUCCGAGAGAUGCCUUCCUCAUCUCUUCACACCUAUUAUGUUGGAGGAGGAGUAGGUCAGUGGAAAUUAAUUAAAAGAGUUACUUAAGCAUAAAAGUAAAAUUUACCAAGCAAUUUCCCACUUCUCAGUGAAAACCUCAUCCUAGGCCAUGUCCCCUGAAAAAGUGGCUUUAUUUUGUGAUUUAACCGUAGGACAGUAGGGUGUUUCAUAGCUCAUCCAAUCUGCAUCCGUUUUCACACUGACUGAACAAAUGCAAUUAGCUUGCAGUGAGCCAAGUAAUGGUUUUCUUCAAGGACUGGGAACAUUUUCUUAGAGUCUCCUGUGUACAAACGUCUGUGGUGGCUUCUUCCACCCAGGCUCCUGAUGGUGUAACCGCAUGUCUUUGCCACUGGACCAACACAAAAGUGUUGUUGCAAGGAAACAAUCCUAUGGGACCGGAGAGCCAGUUGAGAUUAAGAGGCGAUGGGCCUCUCUGCCAUUCCUAGGUUGUGUCUUGACCUGGAAAAGAGAGGAAAUUAACACUGCUAAUGCUGGGCACUAUGUGCUGCCAAAGAACAGAGGAGCACUCCAGAACCUCAAGUCUACCGGGUCAGAGACUGCAUCUGACCUUAUCACCAUUGUAUCUACAGCAGGCGUGGGCAAGUCCUCAGAAUGUUUACCACGGAGCUGUUCCCAACAGCCAAGUCCCAGUGGCCUUCAUGGGAUGAGUGAGUAAAGGAAGUGUGGUGUGUAUACACAAUAGAGUGUUAUUCAACCUCAAAGAAAGAAAUCGUGUCAAUGGCAAGAAGCAUGAGCAUAAUUAGAAAUUAUCAAGAAAAGUGGAAAAAAAUCUAGAUACAGGGGAGCUGAAGAAAGAAAGAAAGAGAGAGAGAGAAGAAGAAGGAAGAAAGGAAGGAACGAAGGAACAAAGGAAGGAAAUUGAAGUCGACCUCUACAUCUGCCUCAUCACCAUUCAACAGACUGAGAAACCAAGAAGCACAAUCCAGAAGUGAAAUGGACUUAACACCCUGUGGCGACCUAUCAACAGAAAGAGUGGGAAGAAGCCAAACUAAGGGAUUCUGCUCUUCAAUGAACACACCAAGAAGCUGUUCUCCUCUGCACUUCACAGAGCUCUGACCUGCUGAGGAGAAUGCAACCUCCUGUGCUGUUGGAGACUCGUGAUCCUGUGGCCAGCUGAGGGCACUUGGCAUUGUUCACCCGGUCCCACACACAUAUCUCUCUCUCUCUCUCUCUCUCUCUCUCUCUCUCUCUCUCUCUCUCUCUCUCUCUCUCUCUCUCUUCCAGCUCUGGCCUUGCACCUGCAAAAGCCUUACCCUGUGGUCUUCUUCAGCAUAUAAAGCAUAUAAUUGAUCUUCUA